UACGUAGGGGGCUAGCGUUGUCCGGAAUCAUUGGGCGUAAAGCGCGUGUAGGCGGCCCGGUAAGUCCGCUGUGAAAGUCGGGGGCUCAACCCUCGGAUGCCGGUGGAUACUGUCGGGCUAGAGUACGGAAGAGGCGAGUGGAAUUCCUGGUGUAGCGGCGAAAUGCGCAGAUAUCAGGAGGAACACCAAUUGCGAAGGCAGCUCGCUGGGACGUGACUGACGCUGAGACGCGAAAGCGUGGGGAGCAAACAGG
rnacentral:rRNA from 1 species